AGACUUGAGGCAGGCUUGGCAGCGGGGGGUCUGAGGUGCGCCUGCGCAGGUUCCUGCACGCCUGCGCCUGCGCCUGCGCACGGCUCGACUUCCCGCGCAUUUUAGGAGGUCCGGGGUCGUGGACUGGGCAGUCUCCGCGCCGACCGUUGACUGAGGCGACCGUGGGCUGAGGCGGCGAAACCUGCGGGUUUAGUCCAAUAACUUCAUGUGCUAAAGA